rnacentral:rRNA from 1 species
GAUGAACGCUGGCGGCGUGCCUAAUACAUGCAAGUCGAGCGAACGGACGAGAAGCUUGCUUCUCUGAUGUUAGCGGCGGACGGGUGAGUAACACGUGGAUAACCUACCUAUAAGACUGGGAUAACUUCGGGAAACCGGAGCUAAUACCGGAUAAUAUUUUGAACCGCAUGGUUCAAAAGUGAAAGACGGUCUUGCUGUCACUUAUAGAUGGAUCCGCGCUGUAUUAGCUAGUUGGUAAGGUAACGGCUUACCAAGGCAACGAUGCAUAGCCGACCUGAGAGGGUGAUCGGCCAAACUGGAACUGAGACACGGUCCAGACUCCUACGGGAGGCAGCAGUAGGGAAUCUUCCGCAAUGGGCGAAAGCCUGACGGGGCAACGCCGCGUGAGUGAUGAAGGUCUUCGGAUCGUAAAACUCUGUUAUUAGGGAAGAACAUAUGUGUAAGUAACUGUGCACAUCUUGACGGUACCUAAUCAGAAAGCCACGGCUAACUACGUG